rnacentral:rRNA from 1 species
CCUACGGGGGGCUGCAGUGGGGAAUAUUGGACAAUGGGGGCAACCCUGAUCCAGCCAUGCCGCGUGUGUGAAGAAGGCCCUCGGGUUGUAAAGCACUUUCAGUGAGGAAGAACGCCUGGUGGUUAAUACCCAUCAGGAAAGACAUCACUCACAGAAGAAGCACCGGCUAACUCCGUGCCAGCAGCCGCGGUAAUACGGAGGGUGCGAGCGUUAAUCGGAAUUACUGGGCGUGAAGCGCGCGUAGGUGGCUUGAUAAGCCGGUUGUGAAAGCCCCGGGCUCAACCUGGGAACGGCAUCCGGAACUGUCAAGCUAGAGUGCAGGAGAGGAAGGUAGAAUUCCCGGUGUAGCGGUGAAAUGCGUAGAGAUCGGGAGGAAUACCAGUGGCGAAGGCGGCCUUCUGGACUGACACUGACACUGAGGUGCGAAAGCGUGGGUAGCAAACAGGAUUAGAUACCCCAGUAGUC